UGUGGGUCCCCUCCCAUCCCUCAGGUUGUCUCUCCUCCAACAUUGAUGUCACACAUCACUACCCUUUCUUAUCCUCAUUCCCUUUCGUUCUUGAUGGUGUCUCACUGUAUAGCCCAGGGAAUUCUCGAAUUUCUUUUUAUUGGCAUUUUAGACAUAGCCACCCAGCAAACAUUUUUCCUUUCUAUCUAUCUCUUAUUCUCUAUUUUGUAUUCAUACAUAGUUUUUCCUUGAAUUGUUCAAGAGUAAGUUCUACCCGUCUUGACCCAUUACCCCUAAAAUAGUAUGUAUAUAUAUCUGAAGAACAAAGCUGCUUUCUUCCGUCACAGCAUAGGUCCAACUUCACAGGUAACAUUGAAAUAAUACUGCACUACCAUUUAUUUAUUUAUUCAUCAGUGUGACAAGUGCCUUUACAGUGUUAAAUACACUUAUCUUACAGUCUGUUACGUCACAACCCUUCCUUAGUGCAUUUUUGAGUGAUGACAAGCAGUGAUUUUUUUUCUAAAUAGAUUUUAUUUUUAAUUGCAUGUGUGUAUGUGUGGCUGUGUGCACUUGAGGGCAGGUGUCAGAAGAAGACAUUACAUCCCCUGGUCUUGGGUUCUAGGUGAUUGUGAACCAGCCAUGGAUGCUGGGAACCAAAUGGUCCAGUGCAAGGGCAACAGAUGCUCUUAACCACUGAUCCAGCUCCUGUUUUUCUGAUUUUAUGAUCUUAAGUUUUAGAACAACUUCUUGAUCUGACAUUUG
rnacentral:lncRNA from 1 species